GGACGGUUAGCUCAGUUGGUAGAGCGCUUGCCUUACAAGCAAGAUGUCACUGGUUCGAGCCCAGUACCGUCCA
rnacentral:tRNA from 1 species